rnacentral:rRNA from 1 species
GACGAACGCUGGCGGCGUGCUUAACACAUGCAAGUCGAACGGAAAGGCCCUGCUUUUGUGGGGUGCUCGAGUGGCGAACGGGUGAGUAACACGUGAGUAACCUGCCCUUGACUUUGGGAUAACUUCAGGAAACUGGGGCUAAUACCGGAUAGGAGCUCCUGCUGCAUGGUGGGGGUUGGAAAGUUUCGGCGGUUGGGGAUGGACUCGCGGCUUAUCAGCUUGUUGGUGGGGUAGUGGCUUACCAAGGCUUUGACGGGUAGCCGGCCUGAGAGGGUGACCGGCCACAUUGGGACUGAGAUACGGCCCAGACUCCUACGGGAGGCAGCAGUGGGGAAUAUUGCACAAUGGGCGGAAGCCUGAUGCAGCAACGCCGCGUGCGGGAUGACGGCCUUCGGGUUGUAAACCGCUUUCGCCUGUGACGAAGCGUGAGUGACGGUAAUGGGUAAAGAAGCACCGGCUAACUACGUGCCAGCAGCCGCGGUGAUACGUAGGGUGCGAGCGUUGUCCGGAUUUAUUGGGCGUAAAGGGCUCGUAGGUGGUUGAUCGCGUCGGAAGUGUAAUCUUGGGGCUUAACCCUGAGCGUGCUUUCGAUACGGGUUGACUUGAGGAAGGUAGGGGAGAAUGGAAUUCCUGGUGGAGCGGUGGAAUGCGCAGAUAUCAGGAGGAACACCAGUGGCGAAGGCGGUUCUCUGGGCCUUUCCUGACGCUGAGGAGCGAAAGCGUGGGGAGCGAACAGGCUUAGAUACCCUGGUAGUCCACGCUGUAAACGGUGGGUGCUAGGUGUGGGGUCCAUUCCACGGGUUCCGUGCCGUAGCUAACGCUUUAAGUACCCCGCCUGGGGAGUACGGCCGCAAGGCUAAAACUCAAAGGAAUUGACGGGGCCCCGCACAAGCGGCGGAGCAUGCGGAUUAAUUCGAUGCAACGCGUAGAACCUUACCUGGGUUUGACAUGGAUCGGGAGUGCUCAGAGAUGGGUGUGCCUCUUUUGGGGUCGGUUCACAGGUGGUGCAUGGCUGUCGUCAGCUCGUGUCGUGAGAUGUUGGGUUAAGUCCCGCAACGAGCGCAACCCUUGUUCACUGUUGCCAGCACGUUAUGGUGGGGACUCAGUGGAGACCGCCGGGGUCAACUCGGAGGAAGGUGGGGAUGACGUCAAGUCAUCAUGCCCCUUAUGUCCAGGGCUUCACGCAUGCUACAAUGGCUGGUACAGAGAGUGGCGAGCCUGUGAGGGUGAGCGAAUCUCGGAAAGCCGGUCUCAGUUCGGAUUGGGGUUUGCAACUCGACCUCAUGAAGUCGGAGUCGCUAGUAAUCGCAGAUCAGCAACGCUGCGGUGAAUACGUUCCCGGGGCU